UUUGGAUUACUAGGAGUUAUGUUUGUAGUUGAUGAGUAUCAUGUUGCCCUUGGAGUAUUAGUGGCUGGUAUUAUGAUUAUUUCCAUGAUGAUAUCUGUGUUUAUGUUUGGAAUAUUACUUUCGAUAUCAUGCUACCUUUGGAUUAGUAGUGGUUAGUAUGAUUGUUUUCAUGAUGCUAGUUGGUGUUUUGUUGCUUGGAGUAUUAUUUUUGGAGAUGAUGGUUACAUGUGGAUCAUAGUUGGAUAACCUAUUCUUGCAUAUUGGAGUAGUAGUAUUACUGUGGUCAGAUUCAUCGUGAUAGUAGUGUUAUACUAUCCUCGGAGUAUUUUGGUAUGAUGAUAUUAUGCUUGGAUUAUUUGUUGGAUAUUGCUAUGACUUGGAUUAUAGUUUGAUGGUUGACAUCGGAGUAUCAGUUAUCAUGGUUAUAGUUUUAUGGAUAAAUUCCGUCAGUAAGUUGGUCAGGUGCCGCCGAAUCGAACUUUUCUAGUGCAACCACAUUUGCCGGUAUGGGACGGCCCUAAUGCGGUCUAUUGUCGUGCCUCUGGCCGGUGCCUCUAACGAGGGAAGGUUAUGGGCGCGCGCUACCCUGAUCAGGUAGGCGGAUAUAAGCCUUGUGUGCUCGGGUUUGAUUUGAUUUUUGCGCGAGGAUCCCAGAGUGGAUUGGGCCACGACAGUGGUCAUUGUGUCUGGAGGUAGACACGGGGCCACCCAUGACUAGCCCAGUGGGGAGUGAGUCGGAGUGGCCGUGAGAGUGUCAUGGUAGUAGAUCAGUUUUGUCGGAACAUCGUUGGUCCACCCGAAUGGGAGUGUGAGGCCAUGGGUUCUGUGGUGUGGGUACAGUGCGCUAUCUCUGCAGAGUGUAUAAUAAAACCAUCGAUAGUCGCGUCCUCGAUCAUGGGCAUGGGUUCGUACUAGGGUACACCGUUCGAUCAGCACUCACUUGACGGAAUGACGUAUAGUCGAUGGAUAUGUGGAUAUUUUGAGCAGUACAGAUUGGCCAAGUAUUGGUCGGGUUGUGAUCGCCGUAAGGAUCACGGGCCAUUUAUUGGUCGGGUUGUGAUCGCGGUAAGGAUCACGGGCCAUUUAUUGGUCAGGUUGUGAUCGCCGUAAGGAUCACGGUUACAGUUUGGUUAUGAUCACGAGGUGAUCGAGAUGGUAUAUUUCUUGUCCGGUUGCCAAGAGAGAUAUGGUUAUGGAGAUCAGAGAUGGUGAUUUAUCAGUAUUAUAGUAGUUUCAUAUUAUGAUUAGGAGUUGUUGUUAUAUCUUGGUAGCUGUUAAUUUAAUUAACCCGCUUAAUGCUAUGUUGUUGUCUUGCCUUGAUGUUUGUGGUUGUUGUGAGCUUGCAAGUACAUUCAAUGUACUGACCUGGCGUGUCAUGCCAGAUUGCAGGUGAUGCCGUGAUUGCUUGAUUUCUUGUCGUGGUUUCUAUUCGUGCGAGCUAGAUCGUGUCCCAGCCAGAGUCCCUGCGGAGUGGAGUUCACCACCUUCGUCGUUGUUCCGCUGCUAGAAGAUUUUCGCUGCUAUGAGUUGUUCUGCUGCUAGCAUAGAGAAAGUGUAGUAUCGCAAGCAUAGUGUCGCCGUGCUGAUGUACUUCUUUGUAACAUCAGACCUUUUGUAUUCAUAUUCAUGUAAUAAUAGAAAGCAGGUUUGUUCUAUGUCAAGCAGUGUCGUAUUCCAGAAGACUUCUCCUCGAUCUUUGGGCUGGAAUAUGGGGCGUUCUGGUUUCUCUGAGCCGGGGUGCCAUAGGGCUUGGUAUCAGAGCAGGUCUGGCUAUAGGACGCCCUAGACCACGCGAAUGUUAGAAAGCGGUAGUAUAGACCCCAGUUGGUUUGUUGCACUUGGUUGCUGCAUUUGUUUGUUUCAUGGCAUGCAUAUAGCAUUAUUAUUAGUCGCUAACGGUUUAUCUGGUGAGUGUAGCUGGCAUCGGUUCGGAUCCACUUCAACUCAACCUUUGCAUUUCUCCAGUUCCCUCUUUUCUUUUGGUGUUUGGUGUCAUUCAUGUCCCAGCAGAGUGAUGCCAAGUGAUCCCGACACUGUUUGCAAAAAUGCUGGUCAGGUAUCGCACCGAUGUCUUUCUUUCAGUCCCGUCUAUCGUUUCGGUGAUGGACAUGCUUCUAUCCCGGAUAGUUCUUUUAUUUUUGUCGUGUUGGCAACCCUUAAUGAUCUUAGUUAUCAAGAAAGGGCAAUGUUAGCAGCCUCAGUUUUUCCCUGCUAUCCUAUUUCUUGGACGGGUACGGAUCUUUUUCCGUUCGCUUGAUAAUAAUGUGGUUGCGACCUUCGUGUCCCACUGCAUGAUUACCGAGUACGUCCUCGCCUCCGAGGUAGUCUAGGUUGCCACUUGGCUAAGCUAGCACUUGGUGUAGCGCUAUUUACACCAACUAUUCCACACAUUUAUUCGUCCUCGUGCACAUCGUCACAGCAUGCUAGAUCGUAGAACCGGAGAUCCCGUGAAAUUUGUGUGCUUAAGUAGGCAUGCAUAUUGUGUGACUAGCAGUAAUAUGUGACAUUGAUUGUGUGUGAAUUGAUUGUUGUUGUGUGCUUUUGUUUAGUUGAGUUUUCUUUUGCUUCUUUCUUUUUGGGCCCCGGUGCUACAUUAUUUCCCCUAUAAAGAGUUGCUCAUCCACCGACACCAGACUCGAAGAAGCCAUAAGGAUUUGAAAUAUUUGGAGGAAGCUCAGCUAAACAUUCUGGUCUACCCAGUAACCAGCAUUAUCGCAUUAAUAUUUGCUCAGAAUAUCAAUGGUGUAUUGAAUUGAUUAUCCGCAUCGAGUCCCCAUCAGUGCAAAAUCCUCACAUCAGUUAUGAUCCAGCCAGCAGAAAGACAAGUCAGUUACAAGAUCCACGGUCUAUUUUCAGACAGAUGUAUGGAUCAUAUACAAAAUUUUGGCUCAGCAACGCAUGAUGCUUGAAAUAUGUUACUAUUCAAAAUAAAGUCAAAAUUUGAUAUGCUCAAGGAAGACGGUCAAACCAUUUUUCGCAUGCAAAUAAUCAGCCUCAGAAUAUUAAGGGCAUGUGUAUGGAUUUCAGUCUGCAUAUCAGUAUGAAGUUUUGGAUAUAAGAAACCCAGUAUUCUUCCACACGCUAUCGGAAGAAAUUCAUGAUGCAAGGCUCCUCCAUUUUCCUCCGCAUGUUAUAUAUGUGAACAAUUUCCGGCCCACGAUACCUGGUCUUUCUCAGCAAGAUACCUUGGUAAGCUUUUGACAGACGGAAAUAAAAUUUUCUCAACAAGCAAACCGAGGAGAAGCUUCUCACGUACGGAACUCAGGCUUCUCCAGCACAAUAAUCAGAGCAAGCUUCAUGUGUAAGCUAUAGAUCCUUCUUCUGCAAGAUACCCAAACAAAAGAUUUGAGCAGAAGUUAACAAGUCUUCCUCGGCAAGCUACUUGCAUGGCUUCUCUCGUAAGCCAUUCAGUCCGCGUCAGUACCACAAUAUUGCACUGUCCUCAGAGAUUAUAUGCUGAGUUGCAAAGGUAUGUCAGUACAGUUCAAGGACCAGAUUUGCAAUAAUUUUGUCAGAGGUAUAAUUCAGUCAAAACAUAUGUCUACCGCAAGGAUCGAGUGAUCAGCGAGAUAUCCUUCGUAUAUAUGGUGAGCAUGCGUCCCCAGUCAUAUUAGUCACGCAUACGAGAUGCGACAGUGAUCCAGCAGAUAUACCUAAGAAAAGUAAGGAUUCAACAACCUCCCCAGUCAGGCAAAGGAAAAUAAGCAAAAAUACAUCUCAUAUGAUUCAAGGAGCGAUAAUAUUUGGAGAUGACAUCACAAAAUCCACAGUCUUGACAAUUGUCAUCAAGGUCAUUAUUCCCGCAAUUGACAAGGAGAUAUUAUAAAACCUUGUCACCUUCUUGUAUGAUUGGCCUCAGCAAUGAACUUUGUACAGCUACAAACCCCGGGUAUAUGUCAUAUGUGUGCAGUCUCACGUCAGAAAACAAGGAGGAAUAAUGUCAAAGAUACUAAUCACAUCCAUGGUCAUACGAAGAAUCAAGGACAUGUGUGGCCAAGUUGUUUCAGUAAGGUAUCCUAACCAAGAAAAUCAGGACCAUAAAAAGGAUGAGACUGACAGCAAAGCAUGAUGAUUUUUACACGACCAUCAGGGUCCGGAUACCCAAGUCAGUUAAAAGCCAUAAUCCCAUAUGGAUCCACAAAGGCAUACACUCAGCGGCCUACUCUAUAUACAAGGAUUUUCAUAUCCCGCUGACUCGCUUGACACGGUUAGCGUGGGAUAUCCAAGUCUAUUCUGUCAGAUCCGAGAUUCCUUGGCAACCUCAGCAGUCUGACCUCAGUGGCAGUAUUAAAGCAUGCCACAGUCUAUUACCACAGAUGGGUAUACCAACAAAAAGAGAAAAUCAAAAGCCGAACAAUCAGCUCAGACCGGGUAUACUCACCGACGGAAUCAAGUACAUGGUCAUUCUGUUAGGAAAAGUGUGUUUUCUGCGUUCCCGCUGGAAAACUUCUGGGAUUCAUCGUUUCCAAUAGAGGAAUUGAGGCAAACACAGCUAAAAUCCGAGCUUUGUCACAGUUGGCUACCCCAACAAAUCUUAAACAGGUCCAAAAAUUAUCCGGAUGUGCGGCAACUUUAAGCCGCUUUAUCUCCAGACUAGGAGAAAAGGCAUUGUUGCUGUAUCGCCUUCUCCAACGCACCGAACACUUCGAGUGGACAGACACGGCAACAGCCGGAUUGGAAGAAAUAAAUGCACUUCUGGCAAGCAACCCAAUCUUGGCCGCGCCAAAUGUCGGCGAACCCAUGUUAUUAUACAUAUCGGCCACACACCAAGUCGUGAGCAUGGUGCUCGUCGAUGAACGAGAGGUGGACGGACACAAAUUUCCGCUCCAGAAGUGUAACAGCCUGGAUUUUGGCCCUUUUAUUUUUCUUCUGAUUUAUUUGGUUUUUGCUCUGUUUUUCUUUUUGGAGUGGUUCAGUGGCCUUGCCACCUGGGAAAUCAUCCUAUUUUCCUCUCCUAAUUGGCUCAUCAUUCUCACAACCUUUCCAAGAUCAUGGCACUUCACUCCUUGACCAAACCCUAAAAUCUUUUUCCAGGGAAAAUUCCUUUUCCAUUAAAGUAAUAACCCUAUCUGCCCUAGGUUGUGAAGCAACCUAUAUUUCUGUCCAUCCAAAAUCCCCAAAUAAUUCUCAUAAUUCCUUUGGGUCAUAUACAGCUCAAAUAUGCCAAAACAUUGCCUUGGCCAGUUCAAAAAUAAUUCCCCAAUAUUCAUUUUUCUAUUCUGCCCUGAACGGCACUUUGUGAAGGAAGUGUCAUUUAUGUUUUUCCUAGUGGCUCCUAACCUUUUUGGGCAUGAUUAUAUGUCCAAAUAAUUGCCCCAUGCACAAGUUCAAAUUGAUUUGCCUAGCCAAUCUUCCUCAGUGAAUUUUCAAAGUUUCUGUCAAACAGAAGGCUUUGUGAAGGAAGUACUAGCUAGGAGUAUCCAAAUAAUUUGAUCUUUUGCACACUCAUUAAUGUGCUCAUUUUAACCCCCUCCGCCCAUUUGCAUCCCUAUCCAAUCAUCUAUGUGAGCACAGGAGCAAAUAUUUGAUUCUGGCAUUGUUUUUGAGGUUGUGAAGCAAGUGCAUUUUAUAUUGCUUCAAAAAUCCUGAUAAAUUACCAGAUCAUUCUUCUACCCAUAAAAUUUCUCUCUAGCCAAUUUUGGCAUCAUUUCAUUGAGCCAAUUGACCACCAAUAUUAUUCCAAGUUUCUGGUCAGCAGAGAUGUUUGUGAAGCAAGUGCUAUUUUGGCUUGUCCAUUUAGCAUGAUCUUUUUACAGCAUCUUAAUAUGACCUAAUGAUCAAGCCUUGCCCAAUUUGAGCUCAAGUGGACACUCCAUGUGAGUGCACCUUCCUGAUCUUCAUUUCUGGACCAAGUAUACAAUUGUGAAGCAACUACAGUAAAUCUUGAUCCUUUUACCCUCCAAACCUCCAGGAUCAUAGUCCCUCCAUAGCUAUACAUCCCAGACAUCUUAUUUGGCCUCAAGCAGUUCCCUGUUGAUCACCAGUGCAUGGCUAAGUUUACAGCAGUAAACUUUAGCAGUUGAUAACCAUUUAACCAGAGUGCUUUUAACCAAUUUACCACCUUAGAUCAAACUACCCUUCGAAGGACUUACCACUACACACCGUUUUGGGUGCUGUAGAGCACUUAAUGUUCCAUGUCGUGUGGUAACCGUGCAGCUGGCAUGCCUGUGCGCGCGCUCUAUGCGAUGUGGCGUGUCCAGAGCACUGUUUAUGCAGGACCCCCUCCUCCUCUCGUCAUCAUCGUGCUUGUGAGCAUGUCCAGUGGCUUCCUCUCCUCGUCGCCGUUCCCCUGGACCCCUCUCCACCUCCGUCCUCUUCCUCACUGAUGCUCGCCGACGAGCGCCCACGGGAGCACAGUGCUCCGACAUGUUUUAAUGGCGCUCGGCCCCUUCCUCUGCCCCUCCUUUGGCCUCCUCCUCCUCGUGAGCUCUCUCCUGCUCCUCCCUCAUCAUUUGCCCCGAGUUCAUGCACGCAAGCAUGUGUCCGCGGUGCCGGACACGCGUCAUCGGUGGUGAUAGUGCGGCGGCUCCUCGCCCCGCCUAUAAAGAGCCACCCCAAGGCCGUUCGACCUCACCACCAGCCUCACACCACCUCCAGCAACCUCCCCGGCCUCUCCCUUGAGCUCCAGAGCCCCUCCCCACCUCUCUCUGCCGCCAUGGCUGCCGCACGGCCUCGGCUAAAUUCGCCCGACGCCGAGCCCCUCUCCACUUAUUUAUGCCACCAGAAGCUCACUCGUAGUCCGGCGAUCCUCCCCAUCUCCUCCAUUCAUCGCCGGAGCCCCUGCUGCCGUCGUCUUCAACCUCACAGUCGCCGCUUCCUCUGUUCUCAGCAACCGCGCAAGCCCCAUCCCUCCACUCCUCCCCGACGCCCGUUCUACCUCAGAAUGGACGCGUCACACCUCUCUGAUCCCGCCGGUGCCCUUCCCUCCUUCGGAGCCGGCCGGAGCCGCAAUCCUCGUCGCUGGCGCCCGCCUCUACUCACCUCCGUUCCCCGUCGCCAUGGUCGUUCCCCGCCGCUCCUGUUAGGCCUCCCCGACGCGGCGCCCCUUCCCGCAACCGCCGGUGGCCGGGCCCUCACCAGAGGUGGUCCGUGCUGCCGGAGCUCGUCGUCGGAGCCGCGCGGCCUCGCCCCUGCCUUUGUCUGUCGGGAGGAGGAAGCAGGGACGAGGAGGAGAGAGUCAAUGCCCGCGGGCCCCGUGCAUCAGUGAGCCCAGCCCCGGCCCCACCUUUGCCCAUAUUGACCGGUCAGCGCCAUGUAGAUAAGUGACGGGCCCCACACGUGGGACCCGCACGUGUCAGCCCCGCCACUAUUCCAAUGGAUAAGGUGAAAGCGUAUUCCUCUGUUUAUGUUUUCACUUUUUCUGUCCAGGCCCCUGGUUGAAAAUAUUUUCACUGCAGAUAGGUCCCUGGCAGAAAAGCAUCCAUAUCUUUUUAACCGUAGCUCCAAAUCAGGUGAAACCAAUGCUCACUUCUUUGUUUCGUCGAGCUUGUUCAGUGGGUUCCAUUUACACUAUGGUUUGACACUGUGAAAAUGACCAUUUUCCCCCUGCCCUUAAUCAGCCCCCUCCGGGAGAGAACGAUUUCCGGCAACCCUUUCCGCGAGCUUCUCGCACUUUCUUCCAGUGAUUUCUUCCACCCCAGGCAAGCCACACCCUCCAUUUGCAUGAUUUCAAUGCAGUGACAUGGUUUAUUUCAUUUUGAACAUGUUUAAAAUAUUGCUUUAGCCACAUGACUCUGUGCAUGGCAUUUUCUCGGAGUAUUGUUUUGAUCUUGUUGUUGCCAUGUUAUUGUUUGGAUUACUAGGAGUUAUGUUUGUAGUUGAUGAGUAUCAUGUUGCCCUUGGAGUAUUAGUGGCUGGUAUUAUGAUUAUUUCCAUGAUGAUAUCUGUGUUUAUGUUUGGAAUAUUACUUUCGAUAUCAUGCUACCUUUGGAUUAGUAGUGGUUAGUAUGAUUGUUUUCAUGAUGCUAGUUGGUGUUUUGUUGCUUGGAGUAUUAUUUUCGGAGAUGAUGGUUACAUGUGGAUCAUAGUUGGAUAACCUAUUCUUGCAUAUUGGAGUAGUAGUAUUACUGUGGUCAGAUUCAUCGUGAUAGUAGUGUUAUACUAUCCUCGGAGUAUUUUGGUAUGAUGAUAUUAUGCUUGGAUUAUUUGUUGGAUAUUGCUAUGACUUGGAUUAUAGUUUGAUGGUUGACAUCGGAGUAUCAGUUAUCAUGGUUAUAGUUUUAUGGAUAAAUUCCGUCAGUAAGUUGGUC
rnacentral:lncRNA from 1 species